GUGUGUGUGUGAGAGAGAGAGCGGCAUGUUCCUCUGGUAAGGUGUCGGAUGAGAGAGAGAGAGGGAGAGAGAGAGAGAGAGAGACAGAGACAGAGACAGACAGACAGACAGACAGAGACAGACAGAG